rnacentral:rRNA from 1 species
UACGGAGGGAGCUAGCGUUGUUCGGAAUUACUGGGCGUAAAGCGCACGUAGGCGGGUCCUUAAGUCAGGGGUGAAAUCCCGGAGCUCAACUCCGGAACUGCCUUUGAUACUGGGGAUCUUGAGUCCGGAAGAGGUGAGUGGAACUCCGAGUGUAGAGGUGAAAUUCGUAGAUAUUCGGAAGAACACCAGUGGCGAAGGCGGCUCACUGGUCCGGUACUGACGCUGAGGUGCGAAAGCGUGGGGAGCAAACAGG